rnacentral:lncRNA from 1 species
UCCAGACGAAAUUAGUAUUUUCAUCUUUACUUAUCUUUUACUAAAUAAUAUAAAGACAUCACAUUGUCAUAUUACCUAGUAAAAUCUAAGUAAAGAGGGGCAGCUGUUAAUACCCAAUUUUGUCCGGAUUAUCUUUCUAAUAUUUUUGUUGUCACAUAUUCAACCCUUUUAUUAUUCAUUCACCUAUUUUCUUUUUUGUUUAUUUUUAUCACCUUCUUACUUAUUUUUGUUUUAUGGUAGUUAUUUUAUUUUAGUUUAUCUUUUUUAUUUUAUUUAUUUUACUUUUUCUUUUCAAUGCUUAUUUUCCUUUAGUUUUUAUUUUAUCCUAUUCUCUUUUUUAUUUCAUUUUGUUUUUCCCUUUACAAUUUUUAAUUUUCGUUUUUUUUUUAAGUUUUAUCUUUCUUAUAUUUUAUCUUGUUUAAAAAAAAGAAAAAAAAAGAAAAAAAAAAAGCCAUGUGUGCAAAACCACAAAGGAGAACGGUUUUUUGGUUCAGAGGAGACAAAGUGGUUUGGGGGGAACAUGGCAGAGAGGUUUUGGGGGAUUUGGCAGAGCAGAGAGCAAGAGAGAAAAUCGUUACUGAAAAAGUGGCAGGCAGAGGUGGCCAAAAGAGAGCAACGAUAACAGAGAGGGGGGAGAGCCCAUAGUAAGAGGUUGGCAUUUCUCAUCCUUUUUUACAAAAGAGAAUACGAGGCAGAAAGAGGUUCUUGGUUGCAUCAAGCACAAGAGGCGUGAGAGUAAUACUUGGUUGGAACCACGCNGAGGGAGGAGAAGGAGACCCAUCGGACAAGCAAGGUUGGCAUUGGCAAUCGAGUCUUCAAGAGGUAAGUAAUGGCUCCUUGUACUCUAUGUUCUUGCCCUUGAAUAUCUUACUGUUGCAUUGCCGCUAUUGCUUGCUGUGUGAUGUGUAUGAUCCUGUGACUUGAGUCCUUC